GGGCUCAGCCGGGAUUUGAACCCGGGACCUCUCGCACCCGAAGCGAGAAUCAUACCCCUAGACCACUGAGCC
rnacentral:tRNA from 13 species